AUUGAACGCUGGCGGCAGGCCUAACACAUGCAAGUCGAACGAGUGGCGGACGGGUGAGUAAUGUCUGGGAAACUGCCCGAUGGAGGGGGAUAACUACUGGAAACGGUAGCUAAUACCGCAUACCAGCGGAUGUGCCCAGAUGGGCUUAGCUAGUAGGUGGGGUAACGGCUCACCUCGGCGACGAUCCCUAGCUGGUCUUAGAGGAUGACCAGCCACACUGGAACUGAGAAACGGUACGAACUCCAACGGGAGGCAGCAGUGGGGAAUAUUGCACAAUGGGCGAAAGCCUGAUGCGGCCAGGCGGCGGGGAUGAAGAGGGCCUGCGGGUUGUAAAGGACUUUCAGCGAGGAGGCGUUACUCGCAGAAGAAGCACCGGCUAACUCCGUGCCAGCCGCCGCGGUAAUAC
rnacentral:rRNA from 1 species